rnacentral:rRNA from 1 species
AUGCCCCCGCCUCCUUCCUCCCUCACUCGUCUCAGCCGCAUGAACCCUAGCCGCCGCCCCACCCGCAUCGGUCCUCCAUCCCUGGUACGAGCUCUUCCUCCUCUGUCUAUGUCUGCCCCGAGCUCUUCCUCCUCCGUCCUCACAUGCUCCACCCUGAGCCCCGCCUCUUCCACCCCACUCGGACUUCGCCUCAUCUGUUCGCACACCAGUUCAAAGGGCAAGGCCAGAGAGCCAUGGCGAGUCCUCAGGAGAGGAGAGGAAGGCAAAGGCGGAGCAGAGGAAAUCAAGAAGGUCAGGGGGCGAUGGAGGGAAGAUCGAUUUCCUUGGUUUGAUGUAGAUAUACCACGAAGGGAAGAUCUGCCUCACUGUGCACUUCAGGCGCGCGCACACUAG